UAAACAAGACUGUUCGCCAGAGUACUACCGGCAAUAGCUUAAAACUCAAAGGACUUGGCGGUGCUUUAUACCCUUCUAGAGGAGCCUGUUCUAUAAUCGAUAAACCCCGAUAAACCUCACCAUUCCUUGCUACUACAGUCUAUAUACCGCCAUCUUCAGCAAACCCUAAAAAGGUACAAAAGUAAGCACAAUCAUAAUACAUAAAAACGUUAGGUCAAGGUGUAACCUAUGGAACGGAAAGAAAUGGGCUACAUUUUCUAAUCUAAGAAAAUCCAACACGAAAGUUAUUAUGAAACUAAUAACCAAAGGAGGAUUUAGCAGUAAACUAAGAAUAGAGUGCUUAGUUGAAUUAGGCCAUGAAGCACGCACACACCGCCCGUCACCCUC
rnacentral:rRNA from 1 species